AUUGAACGCUGGCGGCAUGCCUUACACAUGCAAGUCGAACGGCAGCACGGAGCUUGCUCUGGUGGCGAGUGGCGAACGGGUGAGUAAUAUAUCGGAACGUACCCUAGAGUGGGGGAUAACGUAGCGAAAGUUACGCUAAUACCGCAUACGAUCUAAGGAUGAAAGUGGGGGAUUCGCAAGAACCUCAUGCUCGUGGAGCGGCCGAUAUCUGAUUAGCUAGUUGGUAGGGUAAAAGCCUACCAAGGCAUCGAUCAGUAGCUGGUCUGAGAGGACGACCAGCCACACUGGAACUGAGACACGGUCCAGACUCCUACGGGAGGCAGCAGUGGGGAAUUUUGGACAAUGGGCGAAAGCCUGAUCCAGCAAUGCCGCGUGAGUGAAGAAGGCCUUCGGGUUGUAAAGCUCUUUUGUCAGGGAAGAAACGGUGAAAGCUAAUAUCUUUUGCUAAUGACGGUACCUGAAGAAUAAGCACCGGCUAACUACGUGCCAGCAGCCGCGGUAAUACGUAGGGUGCAAGCGUUAAUCGGAAUUACUGGGCGUAAAGCGUGCGCAGGCGGUUUUGUAAGUCUGAUGUGAAAUCCCCCGGGCUCAACCUGGGAAUUGCAUUGGAGACUGCAAGGCUAGAAUCUGGCAGAGGGGGGUAGAAUUCCACGUGUAGCAGUGAAAUGCGUAGAUAUGUGGAGGAACACCGAUGGCGAAGGCAGCCCCCUGGGUCAAGAUUGACGCUCAUGCACGAAAGCGUGGGGAGCAAACAGGAUUAGAUACCCUGGUAGUCCACGCCCUAAACGAUGUCUACUAGUUGUCGGGUCUUAAUUGACUUGGUAACGCAGCUAACGCGUGAAGUAGACCGCCUGGGGAGUACGGUCGCAAGAUUAAAACUCAAAGGAAUUGACGGGGACCCGCACAAGCGGUGGAUGAUGUGGAUUAAUUCGAUGCAACGCGAAAAACCUUACCUACCCUUGACAUGGCUGGAAUCCUUGAGAGAUCAGGGAGUGCUCGAAAGAGAACCAGUACACAGGUGCUGCAUGGCUGUCGUCAGCUCGUGUCGUGAGAUGUUGGGUUAAGUCCCGCAACGAGCGCAACCCUUGUCAUUAGUUGCUACGAAAGGGCACUCUAAUGAGACUGCCGGUGACAAACCGGAGGAAGGUGGGGAUGACGUCAAGUCCUCAUGGCCCUUAUGGGUAGGGCUUCACACGUCAUACAAUGGUACAUACAGAGCGCCGCCAACCCGCGAGGGGGAGCUAAUCGCAGAAAGUGUAUCGUAGUCCGGAUUGUAGUCUGCAACUCGACUGCAUGAAGUUGGAAUCGCUAGUAAUCGCGGAUCAGCAUGUCGCGGUGAAUACGUUCCCGGGUCU
rnacentral:rRNA from 1 species